rnacentral:sRNA from 1 species
AAGCUAUCCCUCGCUGCUAAGCUAUCGCUGCCAACCUAUCUAUCGCUGCCAACCUAUCUAUCGCUGUCAAUUUAUCUACCACUGUCAAUCUAUCUAUUGCUGCUAAUCUAUCGCCGCUGUCAAUCUAUCCCUCACUGCUAAGCUAUCCCUCGCUGCUAAGCUAUCACUGCCAAUCUAUCUAUCGCUGCCAAUCUAUCUAUCGCUGCCAAUUUAUCUACCACUGCCAAUCUAUCUAUUGCUGCUAAUCUAUCGCUGCUGCCAAUCUAUCCCUUGCUGCUAAGCUAUCGCUGCCAACCUAUCUACCACUGCCAAUCUAUCUAUUGCUGCUAAUCUAUCGCUGCUGCCAAUCUAUCCCUUGCUGCUAAGCUAUCGCUGCCAAUCUAUCUACCACUGCCAAUCUAUCUAUUGCUGCUAAUCUAUCGCUGCUGCCAAUCUAUCCCUUGCUGCUAAGCUAUCGCUGCCAACCUAUCUAUCGCUGCCAAUUUAUCUACCACUGCCAAUCUAUCUAUUGCUGCUAAUCUAUCGCUGCUGUCAAUCUAUCCCUCACUGCUAAGCUAUCCCUCGCUGCUAAGCUAUCACUGCCAACCUAUCUACCGCGGCGAAUCUAUCUAUCGCUGCCAAUUUAUCUACCACUGCCAAUCUAUCUAUCGCUGUCAAUCUAUUGCUGCUAAUCUAUCGCUGCUAAUCUAUCGCUGCUGCCAAUCUAUCUUUCGCUGCUAAUCUAUCGCCGCUGCCAAUCUAUCCCUCGCUGCUAAGCUAUCCCUCGCUGCUAAGCUAUCCCUCACUGCUAAGCUAUCUCUCGCUGCUAAGCUAUCCCUCACUGCUAAGCUAUCCCUCACUGCUAAGCUAUCCCUCACUGCCAAUCUAUCUAUCACUGCUAAUCUAUCGCUGCUAAUCUAUCGCUGCUAAUCUAUCGCUGCUAAUCUAUCGCUGCUAAUCUAUCGCUGCUAAUCUAUCGCUGCCAACCUAUCUACCGCGGCGAAUCUAUCUAUCACUAUCAUUACUAGUUCAAAAUAGAACUAGAGCAUAAAUACACUAAACUUCUUUUGAUAGGUAAUGAUUUUUGGUAACACUCAUAGCAUUAUAUCAUCUAUAUAGGGUAAAUCAUGGUCCCAUUUGGUCCCAUUUUAACAAAAUGGGACCAAAUGAGACCAGAAUCAGUAAUUUAUAAGAAGAACAUGACCUGGGACUAGAUUUAUAAUAUAAACAGUGUAAAGUGACUAAUUUAAUAAACACUAUAUGGGACCAGGACUAAGAAAUUUGAUAAUGGGACUGGAGAAAUAUUUAGUCCCAGUCCCAUGCAUGAUCACACAGCC